rnacentral:lncRNA from 1 species
CAGAAAUGAAGAGCAAUUUUGUGGUUGAAAAUGAAAAUGUCUUUUCCCAACUGUGAUCAGCUCUUCUGACCUGGCAGAUAUGAUUUCAAGCCUGUGUCUUUCAGGCCUUGAAAUCUGCUUCAAAACAAUUUCUGCUCAAGAGGACAUUCUCGGGAAGUUUUAAGGCAUCUCAAAUCCUGGCCUACAUUUUCUGCUUGAUCUUACCUUGCUUUCUUGCAUAUGCAACUUAUUAGAGUAUCAUAAGUUCUCUUUUAUCCCAAGGCUUCCCAAGAAGAAACAUACUAUCGAAGGAUGUGACUUUGGGCCAUUUCAGGAUGCACAGGAGAGUGGUUCAAUCCUACGUGUACCGAGGACAGUGAUAGAAACCAGGCAACCCCUAUGAAAAAGGAUUAUGGAAUUCAUUCUGGGAAGACUCAGAAGAAACACGUGAGUUAUCUCCAAAUAUCUUAAAGCUUGUCAUGCCGGGGAACAAAGAUUUGUUCUUUUGUUCCUA